rnacentral:rRNA from 1 species
UACGAGAUGUGCAAGCGUUGUUCGGAAUCACUGGGCAUAAAGGGUUCGUAGGCGGUUAAACAAGUUGGGCGUGAAAGCCCUCGGCUCAACCGAGGAAUUGCGCUCAAUACUAUUUGACUUGAGUGCGAAAGGGGCAAGCGGAAUUCCAGGUGUAGCGGUGGAAUGCGUAGAUAUCUGGGAGAACGCCGAAGGCGAAGGCAGCUUGCUGGGUCGCAACUGACGCUGAGUGAACGAAAGCUAGGGGA